AAGGGAGCGCCGCAAUAGAAGAUACACGACCCCCCUCCCCAAUCGGUUUUUUUUCCUAGAAAACAAAAGCACCCAUUUCCAUGGCUUUGGAUUAACAAAAACAGACCCAACCUUACGCCUCUGUACCUUAUUCGUUGACACAAAACUAACAGACCUAAGGGGACCCUAAGCUAUAGCCGUUUUGCACACAAAAUGAGGAAGCAACCAUUUUCGAUGGUUGUUUCUUAACCAAAAAAAAAAAAAAAAACGACCAGCAUCUUUGAAGCUGCAACAGCAGCCAUUUUUAUCCCAUAGUUUCUCUUGUUCGCCUGUUUUCGAAUUUAAAGCCAUAGAAUCUGAUGGAGUUCAUUUAAAUGUCAAAGUUUUGCUUCUUCUGAUUUCAACGGAAGUUGAUUCGAUUCCGAUCAUGGAGUUUGUUUGAGUUUUGUUUCUGCUUCGGGGUUCGAAGGUGACUAUUCGAAGUUGAAGUUCACGGUUUCUUGGACCAAUUUUGUUGUAGCUUGUUCCGUCGAAUUUUAGGCUCGAGUUUUGUAUAAGUCGACCUUCAAAUCUGCUGUUUUGGAUUGAGCUCGAAGGCUGAGUUCGUUUUGUGGAUUUCAUUUUGAGUUAAGGGAAGUUGACUGAGUGCUGUUGGUUUUGAGCUUCUCCAACGUUGUUCAUUAGCUGCUGGUUCGUGAGUUCGUGCAAUCUCUGUUUGGACUCGCUUCCUCUGAGAAUCGUUGUAAUCAUUAAAUAGCAUUAAUCGACAGUUCAUUUUCAAUUUCAUUUCCAAACUCUUCUAUUUUUCUAUUUCGUGUGAGAUGAAAUGUUUGUUUGUAUAAAUCAAUUUCUGGAUACAAAAGAAGAAAAAAUUAACAUCACUGAACAAUUUUGGGAAGCUUGGUUGAGCUUUGAGUUGAUUUUCUGAGUUUGAACAUGGUUGUUUGAGUGGUUAUGUUUUUUUAUGGAAAUGUGAAUUCAAAUGGGGACUGAUUUGGAGUGUUGUUGACUGAGAAUUGUAUGAAGUUGAUUCGAUGGGCUGUGCCUUAAAGUGUAUUAAGGAAAUCUUGCAAGUUCAGUUCCUUUAAUUUGUACAUGUUUCUGUCCAGUUUGUUGCAUUUCUAAUUAGUUUCAGUUGCGAUUUAUGCUAGCUUGAGUUAUAGUUUUGCAUCUGUUGUGGUAGUAUUAGCUGCACUAGAAGUUCUGUACUGGCUAGGGAGUUAUUGUACAGUUUAAGGGAGCCAAACUCUGCACUGUGACCUUCAUGUUUAGGAAUGGUAAAUUUGCUGCUUUUGUCACUAGUUCUUUGGCAUUCUGUUUUCUUUAUCCUUUGAGAUUGUAAAGGUUUGUGGUGCAUAUCUUAAGCUUAGAAAUCAUAGUUAAUUGGCAACAUGAUCGUGUGUCCUAUUCUGCUUUGUUAGUUGGUCGACAACAACAUUUAGCUAGCUUCAUCCUUUAGAAAUCACGCUCAUUUUCUUGUGUUACAAACUGUUUGAUAACUUUUACAUAUUUCUUUGGGAUGUGGUGGACAAGGAAUGCCCAGGUUUGAACUACCUCAUUUCUAUGAACUUUGAGAAGAGCUUUCCAUUCUGAUCGUUUUUCUUGGAUGUGUAAGCUGUUAAUGAGUUCAUUCAUGGCUGCGAUAGAUGUUCUGUGAUCUCCUUUUGAGUUCUGUUUCAUUUGGUCGUCGAUAAGUUAGAUAAAGGCUCGUUUAAACUUACUACUGUUAGUUGGAAUUCUAUAACUGGUGCAUCCAUUGGUCAUUGUCAAGAGUUCUUGUUGUAUCGCUAAAUUUAUGGUAGCUGCAAAUAUGUUGAAAUUUUGAAUGAGUUUUUAGUUGGUCUGUAUACUUAA